ACCAUGGGUGCCCGGCUCCUGGGCAGUGUGAUGCUUUUCCUCCUGGGGGCAGGCCAUGGAGCAGCAGAAGUGACCCAGUUCCCCAGAUACCGCAUCACGUUGCCCAAGAGGAAGCAGGUGUUGGAGUGUUCUCAGAGCACAAAUCACGACGCCAUGUACUGGUAUCGGCAAGACCCAGGCCUGGGCCUGAAGCUGAUCUACUACUCCAUUAAUAUUAACAUAACUGAGAAGGGAGAUGGUUCUGAGGGAUACGAGGUCUCCCGAAUAGACAAGAAGAGUUUCCCCCUGACCCUGAAGUCAACCGCCCUGGAGCAGACCUCUCUGUACCUCUGUGCCAGCAGCCACUGUGCGAACACCCAAGUCUUCUUUGGAGAAGGCACCAGGCUCACCGUCGUAGUGGACCCAAACAAGGUCAGGGCGCCCACGGUCACCGUGUUCGAGCCAUCUGAGGCAGAGGUCAAUCGCACCCAGAAGGCCACGCUCGUGUGCCUGGCCACUGACUUCUACCCCAACCACGUGGAGCUGAUCUGGCUGGUGAACGAGAAGGAGGUCAGCAGUGGGGUCAGCACGGACCCCGAGCCCUACGAGGAUCCGACUGACAACACCACCUACUACCUGAGCAGCCGGCUCAGGGUCUCUGCCAGCUUCUGGCACAACCCACGCAACCAAUUCGUCUGCCAAGUCCAGUUCCAUGGCUUCACGGAGGAAGACGCGAAGGGGUUAGAGAACAAAACCCGAGCCCUCACCCAGAAAGUCAGCGCCCAAGUCUGGGGCAGAGCAGACUGUGGCCUCAACUCAGCAUCCUACCGGCAGGGGCUCCUGUCUGCCACCCUCCUCUAUGAGAUCCUGCUGGGGAAGGCCGCCGUGUACGCCCUGCUGGUCAGCGCCCUGGUGCUGAUGACCACGGUCAAGAGAAAGGACUCCUGAGCCGCUCAGAGCGUCCCCACUGGUACUGCUGACAUGGGUGCCCUUCACCCUCCCGCCAGCGCUUUCGGAGAGCUGUUCUCCUGCCUCCCCACCCCAUCGCCCGCUUCCUCUGUGCGUGCAUGCCUGGACACGCAUGGCCGACACUCCCACCCUGGGGACCCUAGCGUGCCUGGUCAACUGAACCAAUAAAGGUCACUU